rnacentral:rRNA from 1 species
CGGGACGGGUGAGUAACGCGUGGGUAACCUGCCUUGUACAGGGGGAUAACAGUUGGAAACGGCUGCUAAUACCGCAUAAGCGCACGGCAUCGCAUGAUGCAGUGUGAAAAACUCCGGUGGUAUAAGAUGGACCCGCGUUGGAUUAGCUAGUUGGUGAGAUAACGGCCCACCAAGGCGACGAUCCAUAGCCGACCUGAGAGGGUGACCGGCCACAUUGGGACUGAGACACGGCCCAA